AGCGGAAUUACUGGGUUAUAUGGUCAAUUUACUUUUUAAGAAACUGUAAAAAACUGUUUUCCAAAACGGCUGUACCAAUUUACAUUCCCAUCAGCAAU
rnacentral:pre_miRNA from 1 species